rnacentral:rRNA from 1 species
CCCUUAGAUGUCCGGGGCUGCACGCGCGCUACACUGAAGGAAUCAGCGUGCUAAAACCAUUGUCGAAAGGCAUUGGUAAACCCAUUAAAAUCCUACGUGAUUGGGAUCGGGAAUUGCAAUUAUUUCCCUUGAACGAGGAAUUCCCAGUAAGUGUGGGUCAUAAGCUCGCGUUGAUUACGUCCCUGCCCUUUGUACACACCGCCCGUCGCUGCCCGGGACUGAGCCGUUUCGAGAAAAGCGGGGACUGCUGCUGUCGGGGCUUUCGGGCCUUGGCUUCGGUGGAAACCGCCUUAAUCGCAGUGGCUUGAACCGGGCAAAAGUCGUAACA